rnacentral:rRNA from 1 species
AUUGAACGCUGGCGGCAGGCUUAACACAUGCAAGUCGAGCGGGGUGAUGGUGCUUGCACUAUCACUUAGCGGCGGACGGGUGAGUAAUGCUUAGGAAUCUGCCUAUUAGUGGGGGACAACAUCUCGAAAGGGAUGCUAAUACCGCAUACGUCCUACGGGAGAAAGCAGGGGAUCACUUGUGACCUUGCGCUAAUCGAUGAGCCUAAGUCGGAUGAGCUAGUUGGUGGGGUAAAGGCCUACCAGGGCGACGAUCUGUAGCGGGUCUGAGAGGAUGAUCCGCCACACUGGGACUGAGACACGGCCCAGACUCCUACGGGAGGCAGCAGUGGGGAAUAUUGGACAAUGGGGGGAACCCUGAUCCAGCCAUGCCGCGUGUGUGAAGAAGGCCUUAUGGUUGUAAAGCACUUUAAGCGAGGAGGAGGCUCUUUUGGUUAAUACCCAAGAUGAUUGGACGUUACUCGCAGAAUAAGCACCGGCUAACUCUGUGCCAGCCGCCGCCGUAA